ensembl:processed_transcript B430010I23Rik RIKEN cDNA B430010I23 gene
GAGAAAAGCGGGGACAGCUCUAUUAGACAUGAAACUGUGACCACGCUUCAGAGUCCCCUUUCCCACAGCAGCCAAGUUGCAAACAAAAGGGGGUAAAAGGACAAGGAAAUCUUAUCACUUGCACAAGAAAACUGAAAGGAAGAUGGCAAAAGCUGACGCUACUGAUGCUUAUCUCUAAAGGACUCUGGAAAGCCACACCUCCCUCCCUCCAGAAACACCCGAGGGAGGGGUGGUUAGCUUAUUAGUGGACUUCAGGAGGCAACAGAUUUCAGUGAGUGUUGACAUCUGUCCUAACUCACUUCCCUAAACCACACUCAGCCUUCUCCAGCAAGAUCCAGCGUGAGGACAUCAAGCUGUUUCCUAACAGUGAGUGCCUUGUACACACUAGGCAACUAGCGAACAUUCACUGAUGGAUUAUAAAACAGAGAAGGGGUGGAGAACAUCCAACAUGGGGAUUCUGUGUGCUCUUGUAAGAUGUUUCUGCAGUUCCACCCUCGCCCUUCGCUCGUCCACUCAGACAGGAGGUGCUGGAUCACAACGGUCAGCGCUUCAAACUUGGUGUUACCACGGGAAAGAAGCUGCCUGAGGUGCAGGAUGAAUCCACUUUGGCUUUCACAUUUUGUCUUGUAUUGGGCCAACUCAAGCGUUCUCUCGGAGGACAGCACAUCUGGAGCUGUCUGGGUCUGGAUGCACAGGCUCCUGGGAUUCUUCUGCCUGCCCUUUUCAACUGCAAGAGGAAGGAAAGAAAAGCACAAAGAUGCGUGAGGUUAACUAAUUUUUAUAACCACCACCACACAGGGCUCACAACCAGCCUACUGCCGCCACACCAGAGCAUCUGAACCAUGUUUUACGUUGGGACGUACGUACGCAUGGUGGCAGGCUGGAGUAGAUUGGGGAUCAGGAUGGGUGGAACUCGUAAACAGGGCCAAUGGCUUUAGUUCUCACUGUGAAGAUUCAAUGGGGAGUUAUGCACAUGAGCCAAACAGAUUUAGCAACUCAGAAACAUAAAACACUGGAGGCAGGGAAGAGGCAAAAUAGUGACUUCGUGGCCUUUAUUUUUAAUUCACCAUUGUUGUCUGUGUUCAUGAUGUUAUGUGCAUGAGAGUACAGGUUCUCAAAGACUACUGCGGUCCUGUGGCGGUCAGAGGACCACCUCCUAGAGCUGGUUUCCUUUUACUGUGAGUUCCAGGAUCAAGCGCAGGUCACUAGGCUUGCAUGGCAAGCACUUUCACCUGCUGAGCCAUCCCUCCAACUCCACUUCAUAGUUUUUACUCUUCCAGUUAAGUUGACAAAUCUGAAAGUCCUUUCCUGUGUCUGUUGGGGUAGUCCCGAGAUUUCUGUCCUUGAGUCCGUUUGUGUGUGCAUACGCGCAUGUGCAUGUAAGGGGGGAGGGGGAGAGAGAACGAAUGUGAGUCUGCUAUCACAGUGACGCAGUAAAUUAUACCAGGUGACGAAAAGGAACAAGAGUGGCACUGCACUCAUGACACAGGCUGAACAAAGUACAAUUAUACAGUAGGCAGAACUAAGACACACUAUUCAAACGGUUUUGCAUUUUGGAGAAAUGCUGAAGUUAGCCGGUAGUGCACUUAAAUCUAGGAUGCAGUUUAAAUCCCCUUGUGUCUUCAAACAGACGAUGAAAGGGUAGAUUAAAAAGCAGAGAUUUUUUUAAAAAAAAAAAAAAAAAGAAAAGAAAAAAGAAAUCAUGGGAUAAGCACUGAGGAAAAUUCUGAUUAUUGGACUUGAAAUGCUUUUCCUUCCUCUCGAAGGCUCCUUUUUAAAAAAUGUGUUAGACGGGGCAUGGUGACACACACUUUUAAUUCCAGUGCUUGAGGGGUGGGGGUGGGGAGGCAGGUGGAUCUCUGUGAGUUCCAAGACAGCCUGGUCUACAGAGGUUUUGUAGACCAACUGAGGAGGCACACUGAGACCCUGCCACCAAAUAAAUGAGUACAUGUGUUAUUUUUGUUUGUUUGUCAGCAUGCUAAGUAAUAGGCUUCAUUAUAGUAUUUCAUAGAUGAUUUGUUUAAGUUUUAGUAAGUUUUUCACAGUUGCUUGCUGGUCUGCCUCCUCCACCCUAAAGCCCUCCCAUUUUCCCAGGAACCCCCCUUCCUCCUUCACCUCACUGCCCCUGUGCCCUUUCCACAAACACCUCCCACAGAGCUGUCUUCCCCGCUGUCUUUCUGGUCAUUGUCACAGUCUACUCUGCAGAUGUCACCAGAAUCUAAUGACCCAGCAUAUACACUAGAGAUCCUGCACUUUGCUCCUCCGAGGUUACUGGGAAAAGCAGCGUGUGCCUGUGUGCCUGGAUACACUGCCUCAUUUUACAACAAGCGCAAACUUCGUUCCCCGAGUAGU